GUCCUUAGUUACCAGCACGUUAUGGUGGGCGACUCUAAGGAGACUGCCGGUGGACAAACCGGAGGAAGGUGGGGAGUGACGUCAAGUCAUCAUGGCCCUUACGGCCUGGGCUACACACGUGCUACAAUGGUCGGUACAAAGGGUUGCCAAGCCGCGAGGUGGAGCUAAUCCCAUAAAACCGAUCGUAGUCCGGAUCGCAGUCUGCAACUCGACUGCGUGAAGUCGGAAUCGCUAGUAAUCGUGAAUCAGAAUGUCACGGUGAAUACGUUCCCGGGCCUU
rnacentral:rRNA from 1 species